rnacentral:lncRNA from 1 species
UCAUCUUCACCUUUAGAAACCCUAGUUCAUAUGAAAGUCCAUCCGUUAACUCACUUUCUUUCUUCUCUCUUUCGUUUCAAACAACAGUGUUCCUUUUUCUACUCUUUUGUUUUUCUUGUAUGAAAACCAAGACUGGUUGUGAGAAUGUCGUGGUGGCGAGCGAGGGAGGUGUAGAUCAGAGGUGAUGGUGGUUGGUAACAGUUGGUUUGACCAAGAUGUUAAAAGGCGAUGGUUAGUGGUGGUUAAUUACAGGUGUGUGUUGGUUGUUGAGAGGGUGGUUAUGGCGUUUGAGUGUAAGUAGGUUGGUGAACGGAGGUCUGUUGUGCUUCGAUGGAGUUGAAAACCAUUUCAGUUACAGAAAAAAUGUUGAAGAACCCUAAAGAUUAAUUGCUUAAAUCGGUAAAGUUAGAUGUUUGGCGAUGAAGCGGAACACCCGUGGAUGAUAAUCAAGGUAUAUUACAUUAUUCGGUAUUGAUUUCGGGUUAGAAGAUAGCUUGGAAGUGCUAGAAAUGCAAAAGAAUGAAGUCCAGGGGUGUAUGUGUCAUUCUAUGAAAGUUGUGAUUUUGAAGAAUGUUGAGUUGGGAGUUGCGACGUAAGCUAUGGAUGAUCUGUAGCCUACAGUUCUAUCAUAACGAAACAUAUCGGCAGCUACGUGUUGUAGGCUACGGCUGAUCUGUAGCCUAUGGUUUAGCCAGACAUAAAGAAACAGCCAGCACGAUCUGUAGCCUACGGAUCAGACGUAGGCUACGACGGACUUGAAAAGGGCAGCGCGAAAUUGACGUUUUUAAGGGUAUUAAAAGGGUUCUCCAACCCUAACUCGUAGAGGAGAGCUUUUGGACGAAUUUUUGGGGAUACAAGACACCCUUGGGCAUUAAUAUUCACCAUCAAUCACCAUACUUUCCAUCAAAACUAAGAUCAAGAUGAUGAAAUCAACCGUUUAUCAAUCCAUCGAGAUGAGCGGCUAAUUCUCUAUGGUUUCCUCCAGGUGGAGGAUUCUUGUAAGUGAACUAGGCUAUGUGUUUGAAACUUUGUUAAAUCCGGUAAUCUAAGUAUUCGAUGCUUGUUACCGGUUGAUUUGAUUAAGUUGAAUUGUAAACAAUUGAUUUUGCUUUAAACCUAGUUUUGAUUCUUUCA